CUCGGUGACUACUAUCGCUGUCAUGUCUGGUCGUGGCAAGCAAGGAGGCAAGGCCCGCGCCAAGGCCAAGUCGCGCUCGUCCCGCGCUGGCCUUCAGUUCCCGGUAGGGCGAGUGCAUCGCCUGCUGCGCAAAGGCAACUACGCUGAGCGGGUGGGGGCCGGCGCGCCCGUCUACAUGGCGGCGGUCCUCGAGUACCUGACCGCCGAGAUCCUGGAGCUGGCGGGCAACGCGGCUCGGGACAACAAGAAGACGCGCAUCAUCCCUCGUCACCUGCAGCUGGCCAUCCGCAACGACGAGGAGCUCAACAAGCUGCUGGGCGGCGUGACGAUCGCCCAGGGAGGCGUCCUGCCCAACAUCCAGGCCGUGCUGCUGCCCAAGAAGAC
rnacentral:misc_RNA from 1 species